GAAAUGCGAUAAGUAAUGUGAAUUGCGGAAUUCAGUGAAUCAUCGAAUCUUUGAACGCAGCUUGCGCUCCUUGGUAUUCCUUGGAGCAUGCCUGUUUGAGUAUCAUGAAAUCUUCAAAGUAAAUCUUUUGUUAACUCAAUUGGUUUCUACUUUGGUAUUGGAGGUCUUUGCAGCUUCACACCUGCUCCUCUUUGUUCAUUAGCUGGAUCUCAGUGUUAUGCUUGGUUCCACUCGGCGUGAUAAGUUAUCUAUCGCUGAGGACACUGUAAAAGGUGGCCAAGGUAAAUGCAGAUGAACCGCUUCUAAUAGUCCAUUGACUUGGACAAUACUUUUAUGAUCUGAUCUCAAAUCAGGUAGGACUACCCGCUGAACUUAAGC
rnacentral:misc_RNA from 1 species